rnacentral:rRNA from 1 species
CCUACGGGAGGCAGCAGUAAGGAAUAUUGGACAAUGCCCGCAAGGGUGAUCCAGCCAUGCCGCGUGCAGGAAGACGGCCCUAUGGGUUGUAAACUGCUUUUAUACAAGAGAAAACCUCCCUACGUGUAGGGAGCUGAUAGUAUUGUAGGAAUAAGCAUCGGCUAACUUCGUGCCAGCAGCCGCGGUAAGACGAAGGAUGCAAGCGUUAUCCGGAUUCAUUGGGUUUAAAGGGAGCGUAGGCGGUCUUAUAAGUCAGUGGUGAAAGCUUCUCGCUUAACGAGGAAAUUGCCAUUGAUACUGUAGGACUUGAGUACAGUUGCUGUGGGCGGAAUAUGACAUGUAGUGGUGAAAUACAUAGAGAUGUCAUAGAACACCGAUUGCGAAGGCAGCUCACAAAACUGUAACUGACGCUGAGGCUCGAAAGUGCGGGGAUCAAACAGGAUUAGAUACCCUGGUAGUCCGCACUGUAAACGAUGAUUACUCGCUGCUAGAGGGCAACUUUUAGUGGCUUAGCGAAAGCGAUAAGUAAUCCACCUGGGGAGUACGCCGGCAACGGUGAAACUCAAAGGAAUUGACGGCGNGAGAGNGCGAGGACGACGACGAGGGAGGAG